GUAGUGCAUAAAUAAUUAAUGAAAUAAAACAUGAUCUCUUACCUUUGUAAGCUGAAAUUGAAACAGUUAUGAAGUCAACCGAGAAAACCCUAAUCCUUCAAACUUAUACUUUUUCCCUCGCUUUAUUCAUCAACCGAAAAUUGAAUCCAAAUCAUGCAAUACCCACAUCGUUGUUUCUUCACUACUUUGGCGGUUCUCAACAAAAUCCACUCUUUCGUUUUUCUCAUCGCUAGGAUGCGCAACAGGCCCUAGGGGAAGUUCACCAGCCAAGGUGGCUUGAGGAUUUUUUGUGGCAAAAGUUCUCUGACUCAUGUCUUUCUCAUUCGAAAGAGAGGAAUUUAUACUGCAUAAAUUGCAAAGUAUCUGCUUGUAAGCAUUGUAUGUCAUCAGGAUCUCAUGAAGAUCACCAGAUACUGAGAAUCUAUAAGAAUAAUUACAGGGAUGGCGUCUGCCUGGCUGCUAUGCAGACAUAUAUCGACUGCUCCCAGAUCCAGGUACUCUACUAUAUCUUAGCUUGACUUUAAAUUUGUGAAUAAAAAAUUUAAGCAUCACAGUCAAAACUUAUGUGAUUCACUGCAAAUUUGUGUGCUUUUUGUGACUUUGUUUGCUAAUCAUAGGUUCUUAAAUUCACUUAGAGAUGUUGUAAAAGAACAUCGCAAGCAAGUCUUUGUCGCAUGAUUCAUGAAAUGCAAUAAGAAAGCAUAGAUCGAAAUUGAUUUAAAUUAUUUGUUUUCCUUUUAGUUGUGUUGUUUGGUGAUACUCUUUCUGACAUUGUAAGUAAUUUAGAAAUUGCAAACUCCUUGUAUCAGUAAAGUGGUGGUAUGAAAAUAACCUCAAAAAAAAAAAAAAAAAGUGGUGGUAUGAAAAACUCUGGCAUAGUUUAUACUUCAUAGACAUUUAAUGCAAUCUUUUCAAUGAAGUUUUUUUAGUGUCUGUAUUUGAUUCAUCUUUGAUCACAGUCGUUCAAAUGCAACAACCUAAGGGUUCUGAAUCGUAGUCCGCGUUGUGGAUCAACAUCGGAUGAUGCAACAUGCAAUAAUGGCAGCAGAAAAUCGAAAGAAGCUAGAGCAUAUCAGUACUGCUCCAUAACUUGCAUGGUUAAAGCUGCAAGGAAGUCUUCAAUUCCUCCCAUCGUUUCCAUCCAGGCUCCUCCUCCUCAGGAAUCACGGGGGGAAAUUUCUGAGCCCUCUAAGCGAAAGAGGAAACGAAAAGGAACUCCACAUAGAGCUCCAUUGUUCUAAUCAAAGCAAGUUUAGGGAUACAUUUUUUUACUGUUGUGGAAGUUGCAGGGUGAUGCUUAUAUAGACAUGUUUCACCAUAUUGUUCAAUUCGUUUAAUAGAUUUUUUACUUGAAGCAGUGAGUUAGUGGAGGUUGGAAUAAUUAGAGUAGUAAUGCAUGUUAUGUACCCAAAACAAAAGAGAGUAGUAAUGCAUGUUGCUUAUACAUAAUAAAAGGAGAAAUAUAUUGUCAUUUGGGAUGGUGCAGAUCCUUGAA